AUCAGAAAUCUCAAGUCAAGACUUUUGUUUGUGUCUUGUUCCGGGUUAUAUUUCGGGAGGAAUUUGGCCAGCAGCUAGGUUAAAGCUGUACUCAUCCGUGAAUCUGUCGUAUGCCGAAAUUACCGAAUUACCGAAUAAAAACAUUUUUAUAAUUUUUUUGAGAAUA